CCGAAGUUAAGCGUGCUUGGGCGAGAGUAGUACUAGGAUGGGUGACCUCCUGGGAAGUCCUCGUGUUGCACCCCCGGG
rnacentral:rRNA from 1 species